AAUUCAUUAACCUUGAGUCUAAGAAAGUUAAUAAUAAGAGCUAAGCAACAAAGAAAACAGUUACCAAUGGUUACUAUGGAUCACCAUAGAGGUGAAAAAAGAGAUUGUUAAAAGCACGAAGAUGGUAUGCAUAUCUGGGACUUGGCUGCUGUAUUAUGAUAUGCCGAGAACGGUAUCUACGAUUUUGAAAAACAAAGUCGUUAUUAAAUCGGCUAACAUGGUGAAGGGGAUGGAACGGAUUAAUCAUUUUCCCUUCAUUUCUUAUGGUACACGUCCUGCUUGGUAUAAUCCAAGAUUCUGGAACGGAUUAAGGACGUAUGCCAAGGUACCACUGUAAUUUCAAUUCAUUGAUAAUUCGAUCUCCUUCAAAUAUUCUAUUAUUUGUUGCAACGCCGUCAAAAUAAGCU
rnacentral:lncRNA from 1 species